UUAUUGGGCGUAAAGCGUUUGUAGGCGGGCGAGUGUGUUUAAUGUUAAAUCUUAAAGCUCAACUUUGAAAUUGCGUUAAAAGCUGCUUGUCUUGAGUAUGGUAGGGGUAAAGGGAAUUCCCAGUGUAGCGGUGAAAUGCGUAGAUAUUGGGAAGAACACUAAACAGCGAAGGCACUUUACUAGGCUAAUACUGACGCUGAGAAACGAAAGGUAAGGUAGCGAAACGGAUUAGAUACCCGUGUAGUCUUACCCGUAAACUAUGGACACUAAACGGUAAAUUUUUAAUUUACUGUUAAAGCUAACGCGUUAAGUGUCCCGCCUGGGGAGUAUGCUUGCAAAAGUGAAACUCAAAGGAAUUGACGGGGGCCCGCACAAGCGGUGGAGCAUGUGGUUUAAUUCGACGGUACACGAAGAACCUUACCAGGAUUUGACAUGCUAGAUAGUUGCUUGAAAGAGUAACGUGCCGUAAGGAAUCUAGACACAGGUGGUGCAUGGCUGUCGUCAGUUCGUGUUGUGAAAUGUUGGGUUAAGUCCCGCAACGAACGCAACCCUUGUCUUUAGUUAUUUUCUAAAGAGACUGCCUGUAAUAAACAGGAGGAAGGUAAGGAUGAGGUCAAGUCAUCAUGCCCCUUAUGUCCUGGGCUACACACGUGCUACAAUGGGAAAGACAAUGAGCUGCAAAUCUGUAAAUUUAAGCAAAUCUCUUAAACUUUCUCGUAGUUCGGAUUGUGGGCUGCAACUCGCCCACAUGAAGUUGGAAUCGCUAGUAAUCGCCAGUCAGCUAUAUGGCGGUGAAUCCGUUCCCGGGCCU
rnacentral:rRNA from 1 species